rnacentral:rRNA from 1 species
UACGUAGGGUGCGAGCGUUGUCCGGAAUUAUUGGGCGUAAAGGGCUCGUAGGCGGUUUGUUGCGUCGGGAGUGAAAAACUUACAGCUUACUGUGAGCGUGCUUCCGAUACGGGCAGACUAGAGGCAGGUAGGGGAGAACGGAAUUCCCGGUGUAGCGGUGAAAUGCGCAGAUAUCGGGAGGAACACCGGUGGCGAAGGCGGUUCUCUGGGCCUGUACUGACGCUGAGGAGCGAAAGCGUGGGGAGCGAACAGG